rnacentral:rRNA from 1 species
GUUAACGCAAUAAGCACUCCGCCUGGGGAGUACGGCCGCAAGGCUGAAACUCAAAGGAAUUGACGGGGGCCCGCACAAGCGGUGGAGCAUGUGGUUUAAUUCGAAGCAACGCGAAGAACCUUACCAGGUCUUGACAUCUUCGGACCACCCUAGAGAUAGGGUCUUCCCUUCGGGGACCGAAUGACAGGUGGUGCAUGGUUGUCGUCAGCUCGUGUCGUGAGAUGUUGGGUUAAGUCCCGCAACGAGCGCAACCCUUGUCCUUAGUUGCCAGCAUUAAGUUGGGCACUCUAAGGAGACUGCCGGUGACAAACCGGAGGAAGGUGGGGAUGACGUCAAAUCAUCAUGCCCCUUAUGACCUGGGCUACACACGUGCUACAAUGGAUGGUACAAAGGGCAGCAAAACCGCGAGGUCGAGCAAAUCCCAUAAAGCCAUUCUCAGUUCGGAUUGUAGGCUGCAACUCGCCUACAUGUANCNGGAAUCGUUAGUAAUCGNGGAUCAGCAUGCNGCGGUGAAUNCGUUCCCGGGCCUUGUACACACCGCCCGUCACACCAGCGAGAUGUUGGCAACACCCGAAGUCGGUGACGGUAACCUUUAUGGAGCCAUGCCGCCGAAUGGUGGGAUCAGUGAUCUGGGGUGAAG